GGACUACUGGGGUAUCUAAUCCUGUUUGAUCCCCGCGCUUUCGUGCCUCAGCGUCAGGAAAGCCCCAGCCGGCUGUCUUCACCCUUGGCGUUCCGAUCGAUCUCUACGCAUUCCACCGCUCCACCGAUCGUUCCGCCGGCCUCUAGCUUCCUCGAGACGCGCAGUAUGCCCUGCGGUUCCCGGGUUGAGCCCGGGGAUUUCACAGAACACUUACGCGCCCGCCUACGCACCCUUUAAGCCCAGUAAUUCCGACUAACGCUUGGGGCCUCUGUCUUACCGCGGCUGCUGGCAC
rnacentral:rRNA from 2 species